GUGCUUUUUUUUGUUAACUUUCACAUUAACCCUGUAAGGUAUGAAAAGGCAAUGCCAGAGAAGAGGAAGCAGCACCUAAAUGCGAUUGUGAGAGAUUUAUGGAGAAGGCAUCUUAGGAGCUGAGUCUGAAAGAAUAAAGAGAAAUCACUGCGUGGAUGAGGUGAACACGUGUGUGUGCAAGUACACAGAUAUGCACACGUGCUGUGCAUGGGGUGUGGGGGUUGUUGCACAGAGGAGAAAAGGAAGAAGCACCUGAGCACAGUCUUGGUACUCAGACCUGAGGGAACACAUGUGUGUUAAAUCGUGGAACACAAGGCUCAAGGGAAAUAGCAGAGGGAAUGAGGUUGCCCAAGGAGGGCAAAGCCAGGUCUUAUAGGACAUUGUAAGGAGUUUGGUUCUAACUCACAGGCAACAAGAAGUCACCAAAGGAUUUUGGACACAAGAAUGACAUGGGCAGUGAGAGAAAGGGCGAGAUCUAGGUAGAGCCCAGGUUCCUGACCUGGAUCAUUGUGUGAUGACCCUGGCUGCAGGAUCCUCCCUCAGGAAGGCUGCAGUCCAACAGAGCUCCCACUGGAGAUCAACGAAACUAUCUUAAUGGGCCGGACUGAAGAUUUGUUCAUCUGUGGAAGUAAUAAGUGACACUCCUGAGGAGCUCAGGUUCUGGGCUGUCCAACUCACAAGAAUAUUUUCUGCCUUUAUUCGGAUCAAGGUUCCCAGAAGAUAUUUUU